GGGGAAUUAGCUCAAUUGGUAGAGCGCUCGCUUCGCAUGCGAGAGGCACCGGGAUCGAUGCCCGGAUUCUCCA
rnacentral:tRNA from 1 species